UUGCUUCAACAGCCCAUACACUAAAAUUGUAAUGAUACAGAGAAGAUUAACAUGGCCCCUGGGCAAGGAUGACAUGCAAAUUCAUGAAGUGUCCCAUGAUUUA